rnacentral:rRNA from 1 species
AUACGUAGGGAGCGAGCGUUGUCCGGAAUUACUGGGUGUAAAGGGAGCGUAGGCGGGAGGGCAAGUCAGAUGUGAAAUACAUGGGCUCAACCCAUGGGCUGCAUUUGAAACUGCAUUUCUUGAGUGAAGUAGAGGUAAGCGGAAUUCCUGGUGUAGCGGUGAAAUGCGUAGAUAUCAGGAGGAACACCGGUGGCGAAGGCGGCUUACUGGGCUUUUACUGACGCUGAGGCUCGAAAGCGUGGGGAGCAAACAGGAUUAGAUACCCUGGUAGUCCACGCUGUAAACGAUGAUUACUAGGUGUGGGGGGACUGACCCCUUCCGUGCCGCAGUUAACACAAUAAGUAAUCCACCUGGGGAGUACGGCCGCAAGGUUGAAACUCAAAUGAAUUGACGGGG